GACGAACGCUGGCGGCGUGCUUAACACAUGCAAGUCGAACGGAAAGGCCCUGCUUUUGUGGGGUGCUCGAGUGGCGAACGGGUGAGUAACACGUGAGUAACCUGCCCUUGACUUUGGUAUAACUUCAGGAAACUGGGGCUAAUACCGGAUAGGAGCUCCUGCUGCAUGGUGGGGUUUGGAAAGUUUCGGCGGUUGGGGAUGGACUCGCGGCUUAUCAGCUUGUUGGUGGGGUAGUGGCUUACCAAGGCUUUGACGGGUAGCCGGCCUGAGAGGGUGACCGGCCACAUUGGGACUGAGAUACGGCCCAGACUCCUACGGGAGGCAGCAGGGGGGAAUAUUGCAAAAUGGGCGGAAGCCUGAUGCAGCAACGCCGCGUGCGGGAUGACGGCCUUCGGGUUGUAAACCGCUUUCGCCUGUGACGAAGCGUGAGUGACGGUAAUGGGUAAAGAAGCACCGGCUAACUACGUG
rnacentral:rRNA from 1 species